rnacentral:snRNA from 1 species
GGAUGUGAGGGUGAUCUGGCUGCAGCGCCUGUCACCCCAUUGAUCGCCAGGGUUGAUUUGGCUGAUCUGGCUGAACAGGCGCGUGUCCCCUUCCUCCCUCGCUGCCCCAUAUGCAUUCCUCCCGAAGCUGUACGUUUAAGAAGACAAGCAUCCCAGAUAGAGAAGGACUGGUCCCCGGCCGAGGGUAUAUGAGUAGCUGCAGUCCCCUGCUAGAACCUUCAAACAAGCUCUCAAGGUCCAUUUGCAGGAGAACGUAGGGUAGUCAAGCUUCCAAAACUUCAGACACAUCCAAAUGAGGUGCUGCAUGUGGCAGUCUGCCUUUCUGA